GACGAACGCUGGCGGCGUGCUUAACACAUGCAAGUCGAGCGGAGCGGCGAACGGGUGAGUAACGCGUGAGUAACUGCCCCCCUCUCUGGGAUAACAGUUGGAAACGGCUGCUAAUACCGGAUAGUGGGGGAUGACUUGCGGUCUAUCCGCUUGUUGGUGGGGUAGUGGCCGACCAAGGCGCCGACGGGUAGGCGGCCUGAGAGGGCGACCGGCCACAAUGGGCUGCGAUACGGACCAAACUGCUACGGGAGGCAGCGGUGGAGAAUAUGGCGGAAGGGGGGAAAGCGUGAGGCAGAAACGUCGCGUGCGGGAUGACGGCCUACGGGUUGUAAACCGCUGUCAGCCAUGACGCGGUAGUGGCAGAAGAAGCACCGGCUAACUACGUGCCAGCCGCCGCGGUAAUAC
rnacentral:rRNA from 1 species